rnacentral:rRNA from 1 species
GAUGAACGCUAGCGGGAGGCCUAAUACAUGCAAGUCGAACGGUAACACGGGUGCUUGCACCUGGUGACGAGUGGCGCACGGGUGAGUAACGCGUACGCAACCUGCCCCUGGCCGGGGGAAAACCACUGGAAACGGUGGGUAAUCCCGCAUGGCCCCGCGGUGCCGCAUGGUGCUGCGGGCAAAGUUCCGGCGGCCGGGGAUGGGCGUGCGUCCGAUUAGCUAGUUGGCGGGGUAACGGCCCACCAAGGCGACGAUCGGUAGGGGGCGUGAGAGCGUGGACCCCCACACGGGUACUGAGACACGGACCCG